UUUACCUUUUUUCAACUCUUUUCAUUUCCUGAGGGGAAAAGUUAUCAAAAGUGGGCAUUCUGGAAAGGAAAGGAGAAGGCCAUAUUGACUUUUAACCAAACCAACAUUUUUGCUCAAAGUCACUUUAUAGUCUCGUGACCAUCUUUCAGUCAAGAAAUAUGAAUGGACCUGCUACUGCAAGUGGUCAUUAUUUGGUACACUGUCCUCUUUUCCCCCUUAACUUUAGGCUGAAGUGAAAGCAAAUUCACCACAAAUUUAGCAUCUUGCUCAUGACUAAGAAACACCAAGUUUACUUGUAUGCAAUAAGAAAUUCAGAAGUCCAUUGCUUUAGCUUCAGAAAAUACCGUACAGGUUCCUUUAGCUCAAGUCUUCACCUUAAAAAGAUUAAAGCCCUCAUAUUUUCAAGAUAGAAAGCCACUUUCAAGCAGAAAUUUCAAAUGGGAAAUCAGAAGAUAGAUGACUAACAAGUUCGGUUUGCGGAACUUUUCACCUGCAACUCUCAUCAAGAAAUAUCAGCAACACUUCUAAAAACAUGAGCUUUUCUCUUAAUCAAGAGUCACCAAAUCAUUCUAAGAGAUUCAAAUUACUUGUCUCAACUGUCAAGGAUGCUUUUGCAAACUGCCAUUCUUUCAGGAAAAGAUCAAAUUCAAGUCCAGAAGAAGAUGAUCCGAUUUGUGACUACGAUGAUGAAGUACUCACUUAAAGCCAUCAGGUAUUUGUAUCAGCAGUGAUAAGUCAAUACAUGGAGUUGAAAUGCAGAAGAAAGACAGCCAUCACAACUGACAAGUUUACCUGGGCUUUCUCUCCAACAACAGGAGAUUUCUUCAUCUCUGCAAGACUAAGACAAAAAGAGGAAGAUCAAGAAACAGAAGAAAGGGAAGAUUUUUACUCUGUUGCUAGUAGUCUUUCUCCCUGCUCCAAUGUUACAAGCUUUGAGGCAUUUGUCACAGCUAAGACGGUCUUUUCUCGAUCAUCAAGCUUAGAAAGUAUUGACUUCCAGGAUCUCAGGAGGCAUUCUGUUAUCCAAGAAUUAUCUGACUGUGAAGGAUGGCCAUUUGGUCUAUACCGAAAAGCCUUGUUACUUCCACCUUUGCCAAAAUCACCAUCUGAUUCUUGGUCAUGGCGUAAGAGUGCUAGAAUGGUUAAGAUGCACUGAUAGUUAGCAUUUCAAAUCAAUUACCUCUAUUCUGCGAAGCAAUUUUACAUUUUCCCUUGCGAAAGGAUGCUUGAUCUUAUGGUUAUGUAUGAAGCAUGAACUAUGUUCUUCAAUAAUGGCUACAAUCUUUGCAUAACUCAGCUUCUUGAUAUAGUUCACAUGUUCAAAAAGUCCCUUUUCUUGUCUCACACUUCUCAACCGGCAUACUUUUAGAAUAAUUAUCCACACUAGUGUCAAUCAAAGAUGUGCAUAGAU